CGAAAGCCUGACGGAGCAAUACCGCGUGAGGGAGGAAGGCUCUUGGGUCGUAAACCUCUUUUCUCAGGGAAGAAUGACGGUACCUGAGGAAUAAGCAUCGGCUAACUCCGUGCCAGCAGCCGCGGUAAUACGGAGGAUGCAAGCGUUAUCCGGAAUGAUUGGGCGUAAAGGGUCCGCAGGUGGCGAUGUAAGUCUGCUGUUAAAGCGCGAGGCUUAACCUCGUACAGGCAGUGGAAACUGAGCGACUAGAGUAUGGUAGGGGUAGCGGGAAUUCCCAGUGUAGCGGUGAAAUGCGUAGAUAUUGGGAAGAACACCAGCGGCGAAAGCGCGCUACUGGGCCAUUACUGACACUCAUGGACGAAAGCUAGGGGAGCGAAAGGGAUU
rnacentral:rRNA from 1 species